AGGGCUGCAGCAAUGAAAUACCACAAACUUGGCGGCUUAGAACAAUGGUUUAUUGCCUCACCUGGAAGCUUCAUAUCUGCCUCUGAUAAGGAAAUGAGACAAAUGACACUGGAGUGGAGAGCUUCUUAGGAGGAGGAAACAGACAAAGAGAAGCUAGAGGACAACAUAUUUUGGAUUUCUCAGUUCCCCUAAGAAUGACAGAGAAUGAGAGAGACAAUUCUUCCAUCCACUAGUCCAUUCCUCAGAAGAGUGCAACGUCCAGGGUUGGGGCAUGCCGAAGCCAGGAUCCAGGGACUCCAUCUGGGUCUCCCACAGGAGUGACCAGGAGACAUCACCUGCUGCCUCCCAAGCUCAUUAGCAGGGAGCUGGAUCUGAAGUGAAGGCAAGACUCAGUCUUAGGCACACCAACAUGAGAUGUAGGUAUUCCCAACAAUUGCCCCAAUGCUAUUAUAGUUGUUAUAGGCAUAUUCAUGGUGUUUUGUUUUCCAUUUUUAAAUGCUCAAAUAUUCAAAUUUCACUUGGAAAUACUGUUUUAGAUCUCAUCAAAUAAGAUAGCAAGGGCUGGUGUACAUCAAUCUCUUUAUAAUCUAAAAGUGAUAAUUCAGGUCCUGUUUAAUAAAUGUAUAAACUAUGCUCAAAAGCCAAUGGUACUAUGCCAGAAAGAGAAGAUUAAUUAAUAAGUGAUUGAGUUAUCCACCUGUUUAUAAUUGUGAUCUAACUGUUUAAAUGAAGCCUUAUACCUUAAUCACAAUGAUGGCUGAUUUUUGGCUUCUCCUCUAUAGUUUAAGA